rnacentral:rRNA from 1 species
GACGAACGCUGGCGGCGUGCUUAACACAUGCAAGUCGAACGGAAAGGCCCUGCUUUUGUGGGGUGCUCGAGUGGCGAACGGGUGAGUAACACGUGAGUAACCUGCCCUUGACUUUGGGAUAACUUCAGGAAACUGGGGCUAAUACCGGAUAGGCGCUCCUGCUGCAUGGUGGGGGUUGGAAAGUUUCGGCGGUUGGGGAUGGACUCGCGACUUAUCAGCUUGUUGGUGGGGUAGUGGCUUACCAAGGCUUUGACGGGUAGCCGGCCUGAGAGGGUGACCGGCCACAUUGGGACUGAGAUACGGCCCAGACUCCUACGGGAGGCAGCAGUGGGGAAUAUUGCACAAUGGGCGGAAGCCUGAUGCAGCAACGCCGCGUGCGGGAUGACGGCCUUCGGGUUGUAAACCGCUUUCGCCUGUGACGAAGCGUGAGUGACGGUAAUGGGUAAAGAAGCACCGGCUAACUACGUG